rnacentral:rRNA from 1 species
CGCACGAGAAGGGGAGCAAUCCCUGAGUAAAGUGGCGUACGGGUGAGUAACACGUGGAUCAUCUACCUUUUAGUGGGGAAUACCCCCGGGAAACUGGGGACAAUACCGCAUAAGCUCGUGAGAGGAAAGCAGCAAUGCGCUGAAAGAGGAGUCCGCGGCUGAUUAGCUAGUUGGUGAGGUAACGGCCCACCAAGGCGAAGAUCGGUAGCCGGCCUGAGAGGGCACACGGCCACACUGGCACUGAAAUACGGGCCAGACUCCUACGGGAGGCAGCAGUGGGGAAUCUUGCACAAUGGAGGAAACUCUGAUGCAGCGACGCCGCGUGAACGAUGAAGCCCUUCGGGGUGUAAAGUUCUUUCGACGGGAACGAUAAUGACGGUACCCGAAGAAGAAGCUGCGGCUAACUACGUGCCAGCAGCCGCGGUAAUACGUAGGCAGCAAGCGUUGUUCGGAAUUACUGGGCGUAAAGAGUGCGCAGGCGGUGCUCUAAGUCUGUUGUGAAAUCUCCCGGCUUAACUGGGAGGGUGCAGCGGAAACUGGAGUGCUUGAGGGUGGGAGAGGUAAGCGGAAUUCCUGGUGUAGCGGUGAAAUGCGUAGAUAUCAGGAGGAACACCUGUGGUGUAGACAGCUUACUGGACCACUUCUGACGCUGANGCACGAAAGCGUGGGUAGCAAACAGGAUUAGAUACCCUGGUAGUCCACGCCCUAAACGAUGCAUACUUGGUGUGAGC